AUGGAAAAUCAACAAUCUAAGAGCUUUGAUCCAAGAGAAAACAACAUGGAAUAUCAUGUGAUUGUGAUUGAAGAAGAGCCUAAAUCAUCUUUUCCAAUUAAUUCAAGUGAUUAUGAAAGAAACGCAACAGAUCAAGUGAUUGCGAUGGAAGAAUCAAAUUCGUCUGGCGGCGAACAAGGGAUGAAGUUACUAAGCAUUCUCUCAAUGGUAUUAUGA